AAAUAUGCUUUGAUAAGAAGAGUAAUAAAGAAUUCUUUUUUUAGAGAAAUAAUCAUUAGGUGAAAGAUUAUUAAAAGGACUUUAUGAAAAUCACCUUUGAGCAUAAUACCUAAAAUUCAGGGUAUUACGGAAAAGAAACCGUUAUUUCUAGUAAGUGACAAAAAAUAUAUUGUUUUUUGUAAUUUGGGUGGUACCACGGAAAGAUUCGUCCCUUAA
rnacentral:ncRNA from 1 species